UCAGGUAUGGUCUAGUGGUAUGACGUCACGUUGUGGUUCUCCUUCUAGGGCGAGCAAACCCGUGCCAGCCUGGGUUCGAUUCCCAGUACCGCCA